rnacentral:lncRNA from 1 species
UAUUUACUUGGCUUAGCUAAAACAUUUCUCUCUAUGACACAACUUACAAAAUACUUAUAAUAUUAUAGGUACCUUUAGUGAAAAUAUAUAAAGAUCACUUUUCCAACUAAUAAUCAAGACAUAACUUUUUGCAUCUCCAUGUUCAACCAUCUCUUUUCUUUGGAUAUUAUUGUUGAUCCUAUAUACAAAGCAAUGCUAAUACAACAUCUACAAAGUCUAAAUAUCUCACCUUAAAGUGGAGUGGCACAGUGGACUUAAAUACUCCAAUUUUUAAUCUUUGAGCAACAUGCAAACUCAUAAGAUGGUUACUUCUCCCCAGAACAUUUUCCAAAAUAUUGGGAACACAUUACAAUUACAAUUGCUUUUCUCUACCUCAUAUCCUAAACAGACCACUUCCUGAUAUCCUAAACAGAAACAUGUUGGAAACAUGCAGGUGAGUCUGAACACAUUCUGAAGUCCUCCUGUUAAAGUGGUGCUUCGUCUCUUCCCUUGUUCUGCCCAUCAUCACAUGAUCUCUCAAACACAUUCGGACGUGUCGGCAUUAGAUUCAUUUCACGCAUUUCUCAGUUUUGAAUUCGAUUUAUUUUGUCGUAUACCAGGUCAAAAAGAGUGACCACCAAAUUCCGAAGCGUCUUCGGUGGGAGGCUUCCUCCAACUCAUCAUGUGCAGGUCACCCAACAUCUGUUCGCUCAAUUAUGCACCACACUGCGACUGGAGUGCCCCAGUAAACUGAACAAAGACAGGAAGACACACGUCCAAAACGAAGAGUUGAAAUAGUUCACGGAUACCCUUCAAGAGGGACUGGAUUGAAUAUUCAAGCCAAAAAACGUGCUGCACAGGAAACCCAUCUCACUAUUUACAAGAUUCCUAAAGAUUUUCUCAUCUCACUAGUUGCGAAACUUCGAGAAAAACAUUCUCAUCUAUCUAACUGCAAAACUCCCAGGGUCUAAACCCGCUCAAUCUUGGCCGCUGCCAGGAAUCCUCGCAUUCUUCUCAUGAAUGAGAACUCGCUGGUUCUCCGACAUGAAUGAAUCUCUUUGUAACCGUCAUCCUGUUGAUCGCUUCACAUGCAGUAGUGCACUCUACACUCCCCUUUGCCGCUUCGUAAUGCCACGGCUCAUCCAAACAUGUCUAAACGUCCUCGGAGACUGGUACCACGUCCCUCGAUGUGGCCCACCCCGUUGCGGACGCUGAGAGCCAUUAUUCAACGUACCGGUUGGGUCCCAGUUCGUCGGUCCUCCAUCACCUUGGCCACCCAUCCUGACGCUUGAGAAGCAGAGACCAAUAACUGUUUCCUCAGAGGCAGUGGAAAGCUAAGAAGCUGUCCCCCACGAAUUGAGAAGCAAAGCAAGCCUGCUGUGAGGAUACACGAAUAGCUUCACACCGAUUCGACCCACAAACAGAGCACAGAAGGCGCAAGAACAACACAUGAUCCAUCUCGUGGAAUCUCUCCAACUUAUACACGAGCUCCAUGCCUGCGCAACGCUAAUCAGAAGCCUCCGAGUCUACAAUGCGAGAAACAGGAGAUGGAUUGUGCGGACACCAAGGCUGUGUCUGCAAGCCAGUGUGAGAGGCACUGGCAGCGAGGAAGAUGGAGAGAAGAUCACGUGUCGGCAGGCAUUGAACGAGGUCGAGGGGGGUUGAGAAGGAGUGUGCGGUAGAGGUCGCAGACUUGGUGGGAUUGUGAGAUGGGAAGAGCUGCCAAUCUCCAUGCAGUUUCGUUGUGAAAUCCUUGUCGGUACAUUUCCACGACGAAGUCGCGACUGGGCAGGCGCGUGGAGGGUGGCGGUGGAGUUCUGUAGACCCGCCCUCCAGCACGGGAAGUCUGUGCAAUCAGAACUUCCAUCGUACAUGUUUGCUUCAUGCAAGUCAGCCCAACGCUGGUCUGCGCAACGUUAGUCUGCAGAACCGCCAUGUCGGCACAGCGCCUGUGUGCACAACGCUUCUAAAAAGCCCGUGAGUCUAGAAUGCGAGCAACAGGGACAGUGGUAUGCAUGCACCAAGGCGGUGUCGGGAAGCCAGUUUGAGAGGCGUAGUCAGCGACGGAGACAGAGCGAUGGUCGCGCGUCGGCAGACAUUCAACUGGGUGGAAGGGGGGCGUGAUGGAGUCUAUGAUAGAGCUGGAUGACAUGGUGGGUUCCAGAGAGAAUCUUUGGGGUGGCAUGGCUGGACUCGACUACGGCAGUAGAAGCCGUAGCAGCAGCAAUCUGCGACGCUGACGUGUGGUUGUCAGGCCAUCGAUUGUUGGAAAAGGUCAUGCAGUUCCGUUGCGGACUUUUUGUCGGUAGUUUGCCACGACGACAAUGCGAAUGGGCAGCCGCAUCGAGGUUGACGUUGCAGUCCUGCAGUCUCUCUCCUGCUCACAAUGUCUGCACUAUCAGAAGCUCCGUUGCUACCAGAUCUAGUUCUAAGAUCAUGGUUGUUACCUCAAAUAUGAAGUUAACAAUACCAAGAUUGUUAACUUGUUAACAUACUUGUUGCAUAGAUAAUAGAUAAUGUUUUGGAUUUAGACGUUGCUCUAUGUUGUAUUUGAAUUGCUUUAUUACACAACAGAAUCUAGCUGCUUUUAUUUUCCAAAUAUAUAUUUCAUACAGAAGAAAAUAAAUAUAAUUGCUCAGAAUUUUUAUAAUUCAAAGCUAAUUUCUUAAAAAUUUGGUCUAGUUAAUAGAACAAAAAAUAAGAAGAAAACAAAAGAAUUAGUAUAAUUACUACUUUGGCUGUUACUUUCCUAAUAUUUUUAAUAAUCCUAAAAUAACACUCAUGUGUUUAGACUUGUUAUUUUGAUUCAAACACAAAGUUGUUGGAUAAUGGAACUUUAAAAUUAGAAGAUAUUAGUAAUACUUGACAUCAUCUUAUAUUAUGGUUAAUGUCAAAUUCAAAGUGCCAAAUUUAUUUUCGGUGGUUCAUUUUUUGAUAUACAAAUUUAGAUAUUGGUUGCAAUUAAAAAUUAAACCAUUGAUAGUUUCUUCUAUACAUUUAAAUUAGUUUUAAUACAUUCAAAAUUUGUCAAUAAUAGAAAUAAAAGAAUUAAAGUAAAUAAAAUUUCCUUAAAUCAUUAAUGAAUCUAAAAUAAUUUUGUAGAUAUUUUAUUCAUUAAUAUAUUAUUGUUAUAAUCUAUAAUGUAGAUACUAAUGACCACAUUCGAUUAAUAAAAGAUAGAUAUGUGUUUUAUUUAUUUAUUUAUUUUCUUCUAAUAAUUUUAUUUAUAACAUGAUUUGUUUUAUAGUAAAAAACUAUUUAAUUAAAAAAAUAGCAAUCAAAUUGCCUAAUACUAAGUAUUGUCUAUUAUUAUUCACUAUAAAUCUUUUUUAUUGAUAAUGAUGAGUUUUUAAUUAAAAUACUUAAAAGCAUUAAAAAUUAUCUAAUGAAAAGAAAUUCUCUCUCUCUCUCUCUCUCUCUCUCUCUCUCUAUAUAUAUAUAUAUAUAUGUGUGUGUGAGUGUGUGUGUGUACAUAAAUAUAUGUAUAAAUACAUACAAACAUACAUACACACAUACAUUGGUUUUUUAAAAUAAAUUUUUAUAUGAUUUGGCUCUAUUAAAGAAUCACAAGAUAUUAUUAAUUAUAUAAUACUAUAAAUAUUUAUCUUUAAGUGCUAUCCAAAGUUUCAAUUAUUUUUUUAGUAUUUUGUAUAUCCAAUGUUUAUUUGUUAUUCAAAAAAUAUAUACAAAUAUAACCGUAGUAGCUUAAAUUUAUUGCAAAUGAUUGACUUGGAUAUUAUGAUGUUAGUGAUUCUAAAUUAGAUAUAUAUUGAAAAAACUACAAUAAAUAAAUGAUUCUUAAUGAUAGCUCAUUGGUUUGUAUUUUAAAUACCACUUGGAAACCAAAUAAUGCAAUAGAUGUAUGUUGAUUUUAUUCUAUAAAUUACUUAAAAUCAUGUUUUAAGAUUUUUUAAAAAUAAAUUUACAUAUAUAUAAAUACAUUUAUAUAUAUAUAUAUAUAUAUAUAUAGGUUUUUUUUAAUAUCAUAUAUUUUAUUUUGUAUUUUUGAUAAUAUAUCAAACUACCUCAUAUGUCUAAAUAAAACAUUUCAGCACAAAUUCAAAACCUGUUUUAUAAAUAUCAAUGACAAAAGCUUUAUCAAAAUUUUAAAACCGAAUUCAAUUUAAUAGUUUUUUUAACAUGAUUUAAAUUAUAAAUUGAAAAAUUAACUUAAAGGUAGAAAAUCUUUAUUAAGACACUCAAAAUUAACAAUAAAAUAAUUUUAAUCUAUGCAUGUUGUUUUAAAACAUUGCAAUCUAAAGAAAAAUUGAAUUAAUUUUUGCCUAAUUUAUAUUAUUAAAAAAAAGUAUAUAUAUAUAUAUAUAUAUAUAUAUAUAUAUAUAAUUUGAACCAAAUUGUUUCAGGAAAAUAAUAGUUGACUAGAAUCUUUAAAGUCUAGUCAAAUUAAUAUACUAAGCACCUACCAAAUAGGACAUAUAAUGUGUUGUAAGAAAAUUACUCUUGUCUCAUUUUGGAACCAAUAUUGAAACAUUUCAUUGUUUUUAUUAUACUACAUGAUUGGUAAUUAAACUAUAUAUAGUAUGUCUUAGAUAAUGAUUUAUAGAUUAAUCACAUCUUAUUUAAGAAGCAAGUAUGGAUAAAUUUUUUUUGUUAAUACAUCAGUUUAUCUAGUCAAAUUAUUAGCUAGUAUCUAAUUAGCUUGCAUCUAAUUAGCUUGCAUCUAUUUAGGUAAUUAAGACUUGGAAUUAUAUUUCUAAUUUAAAGAUACAUCUAUAGAUAAUCUUCUUGUAUGUAAACAAUGUAUUGUUAGAGUCAUUUAUAACAUUAAGAAUAUAACACAAUUGUUUUUUAAAAGUUUUUAAAUUUUUAUUUUGAGUCUUCUUCAAACUUGGUUUUAAAGCCAAUAUAAAAAGUCUUAAUUAUCAUGAGUACUUCUUCAUUGGUCAAGACACUUGUUUUUGUAAAUGGUUUUUUCAACCAUCUAUCUAAAAGUAAACCAAAUGGCUUUUUACCAUUGCAAUUGUCACAAAUUAGCUAUAGUGUUUAUAAUGCAUCCAUUUUUGCAAGUGGUAGUUUCAACUACCUAUCUCAAAUUAAUAUAAAUGGCUUACUGCCAUUGCAAUUGUAAAAUAUCAACUAUGAUAUUUAUAAUGCAUUCAUUGUUUAUUUUCAACAUUUUAAAACUUGUAUUGAAGUUGAUUAUAACUUUAACAUGCCAAGUUUAUAGCUUUUGCUAGAACAAGCUACAAAAAUAAUUGAGCUACACAACAUUGUCAAAAUCUAAAAAUGCUAUUAUUUUUUAGAAUCAUAAAAAUCCACACAAUAAGAAUUUUUUAUUUUUUAUUUUAUUUUUUCUAAUCUUCAACUAGUUGAUUUUCUCAUUGAUGCCUUGUUUAAUUCUUGGAGCAAUUUUAUUGCCACUUAAGGUAAAAUCUCAAAUCUUAUUUUUAUUAAUUAACUCUUAAAUAUAUCAUCAUAAAAUUUAAUGCCUCUAAAACUUGUAUCUUUUAUGUUAAAGAGAAUUUACUAAGCCAAACAAUUCUAGACCAAAUUGCUUCUCAAACCUUCUUUAUAUUGAAUUAAUUUUUUAAACUAUUCUAAUUCUACACACUAUCACAAGUCCAACAAAUCUUAUUCUUUAUCAAUUAUUUUCCAUUUAUAUGGAAUUUCUAGUCAAAAAUCACUAAACUAUUGUAAGAAGAAAUAAAAUUAGGAAAACUUUGUAAAAUCACAUGUUAAGAUAUUCACCACAAAUAACAUAUUACAUUCAUUCUUAGCCGUAAUUGAAUCUUCACCAAUAUAUGAAGCUUGGUAUUUGGAUUUAAGAAGCAGCCAACAUAUGUCACCUCUAAAAAAAACACAUCUUUUUUGUAAUUACUAAGAGCUUGUCAUAUCCAAGAUACUCUUAUUGGGUGAGUACAACCCAUACAAAGCUUUGAACUUUGGCUUUAAACUUCUCAAACUUGGUAAUAGAUAAUAUUUAUUUGUUAAUUUUUUUUUUUUUUAUAUUUACUUGGCUUAGCUAAAACAUUUCUCUCUAUGACACAACUUACAAAAUACUUAUAAUAUUAUAGGUACCUUUAGUGAAAAUAUAUAAAGAUCACUUUUCCAACUAAUAAUCAAGACAUAACUUUUUGCAUCUCCAUGUUCAACCAUCUCUUUUCUUUGGAUAUUAUUGUUGAUCCUAUAUACAAAGCAAUGCUAAUACAACAUCUACAAAGUCUAAAUAUCUCACCUUAAAGUGGAGUGGCACAGUGGACUUAAAUACUCCAAUUUUUAAUCUUUGAGCAACAUGCAAACUCAUAAGAUGGUUACUUCUCCCCAGAACAUUUUCCAAAAUAUUGGGAACACAUUACAAUUACAAUUGCUUUUCUCUACCUCAUAUCCUAAACAGACCACUUCCUGAUAUCCUAAACAGAAACAUGUUGGAAACAUGCAGGUGAGUCUGAACACAUUCUGAAGUCCUCCUGUUAAAGUGGUGCUUCGUCUCUUCCCUUGUUCUGCCCAUCAUCACAUGAUCUCUCAAACACAUUCGGACGUGUCGGCAUUAGAUUCAUUUCACGCAUUUCUCAGUUUUGAAUUCGAUUUAUUUUGUCGUAUACCAGGUCAAAAAGAGUGACCACCAAAUUCCGAAGCGUCUUCGGUGGGAGGCUUCCUCCAACUCAUCAUGUGCAGGUCACCCAACAUCUGUUCGCUCAAUUAUGCACCACACUGCGACUGGAGUGCCCCAGUAAACUGAACAAAGACAGGAAGACACACGUCCAAAACGAAGAGUUGAAAUAGUUCACGGAUACCCUUCAAGAGGGACUGGAUUGAAUAUUCAAGCCAAAAAACGUGCUGCACAGGAAACCCAUCUCACUAUUUACAAGAUUCCUAAAGAUUUUCUCAUCUCACUAGUUGCGAAACUUCGAGAAAAACAUUCUCAUCUAUCUAACUGCAAAACUCCCAGGGUCUAAACCCGCUCAAUCUUGGCCGCUGCCAGGAAUCCUCGCAUUCUUCUCAUGAAUGAGAACUCGCUGGUUCUCCGACAUGAAUGAAUCUCUUUGUAACCGUCAUCCUGUUGAUCGCUUCACAUGCAGUAGUGCACUCUACACUCCCCUUUGCCGCUUCGUAAUGCCACGGCUCAUCCAAACAUGUCUAAACGUCCUCGGAGACUGGUACCACGUCCCUCGAUGUGGCCCACCCCGUUGCGGACGCUGAGAGCCAUUAUUCAACGUACCGGUUGGGUCCCAGUUCGUCGGUCCUCCAUCACCUUGGCCACCCAUCCUGACGCUUGAGAAGCAGAGACCAAUAACUGUUUCCUCAGAGGCAGUGGAAAGCUAAGAAGCUGUCCCCCACGAAUUGAGAAGCAAAGCAAGCCUGCUGUGAGGAUACACGAAUAGCUUCACACCGAUUCGACCCACAAACAGAGCACAGAAGGCGCAAGAACAACACAUGAUCCAUCUCGUGGAAUCUCUCCAACUUAUACACGAGCUCCAUGCCUGCGCAACGCUAAUCAGAAGCCUCCGAGUCUACAAUGCGAGAAACAGGAGAUGGAUUGUGCGGACACCAAGGCUGUGUCUGCAAGCCAGUGUGAGAGGCACUGGCAGCGAGGAAGAUGGAGAGAAGAUCACGUGUCGGCAGGCAUUGAACGAGGUCGAGGGGGGUUGAGAAGGAGUGUGCGGUAGAGGUCGCAGACUUGGUGGGAUUGUGAGAUGGGAAGAGCUGCCAAUCUCCAUGCAGUUUCGUUGUGAAAUCCUUGUCGGUACAUUUCCACGACGAAGUCGCGACUGGGCAGGCGCGUGGAGGGUGGCGGUGGAGUUCUGUAGACCCGCCCUCCAGCACGGGAAGUCUGUGCAAUCGGAACUUCCAUUGCUUUCCUGAUAUCAUUGAAGAGGUGCUUUUGCCAGGCGAAUCCCAUCCAUGAAAAGACUCUUUCACCGGGGAAGUGUGUAAGUUUGUACUCGUUUGCUUAUAUAUAUUAAUAUUCUGUGUGUAGUGUGAUGAAUGGUUUUCGAUGUCUUAUAUGUUUUUUGAUAAAUCAUAAUUUUAGUAUCACACACAUACUGUACUGUUAUGUUUUUUCUUGGAAAACGCGCGUAAAAGAAUAGAAUGUGAGAUGCUUACGAGUAAAAUUCAUAGAAGGCUCAAAUGUUUAGUAGUGAAAACACACUUCGUUUACAUAAUUAAUGAGACGUAUUUCAUAAAUGUAUGGAGAAUAAUUUAACAGAGAAAACUUGCUCAUUUGUUUUAGUUUUAAAACGUACUAUUCUACCUGGACAGGUUUGGGAUAUAGUUUCGUGAAAAUAUUUUGGGUAUUAAUAAUGUAGUAGGGGUUGGGACUUGGAACAACAUGGUUUUUAGUUUUAAUGGUUGAAAGUUGAAUUUUAUUUUUUUAUAAGAAUUACGUUACAGAAUAUCAAGUAAAAAUUUAGCUACUCUAUGUUUCUUACGCCAUUACUGAAAUAAAAACUCGGUACAAUUUUUUUGAAUAUAUUUUAAUAAAAUGAAGAAUAAUCAAAAGAACGACGGAAAUUUUGAUGUAGGUAAAGGAUGGAUUACCAUUGGUAGUUUUAAAUUAUUACGAAUUUUCUAAAACACAAGUCAUACCCAAUGCUUGAUUCCUAAAACCUAAAACCUCAUACGAACGGACCACAAGUGACCUUCAUCUGAUUGAGGAAGAGACACCGAAAUCAGACCUGAGCUACGAUCGUAGCUAAUGGCGAUGUCUAUGGAGUCAUCAAGGAUACAACUUUGCGGUCUUUGUGAAGCAUAGACCCCCAACGUUCCGCAUCCAUGCACUUGCAUGGUUACAGUUCUGCCUUGGGUGUCAUACUCAAGUCCUCUUAAUGCUCCCCCCGAGUUGAACAUCUUGAUCAAACCCAGAGGUGCAAAACACAGCUGGGCAUCCACAUUCUGCAUAGCCAAGUUAAUUAUUAACUGAAGGGACGGUUGAACAAUUUAAACGAAUGAAACCACUUCAAGAAGAGUAGCUGCAGAAAAAUCAGUGAAAGCAAUAUAAACAUCUAUGGACCAGAAAAGUGUCUUUCUGGACACCCUGUUCUGCACUUCAGGAGUUUCUAUGACGUGGGAAGGAGCUGAUUUCUGCGUGAGGGAAUAGAUAUAGGCACUAAAAUAAGAAGCACAAUUGGGGAUGGAAUCAAA